rnacentral:lncRNA from 1 species
ACUCCCCACAGUGACCAGUAUUAUCUUUGAAAUUAAAAAAAGUCAUUAUUUACAUGAAAAAGAAGACCUUUCUCUAGGCUUUAUCCAUUGAGGUGGGACAGCCCCGUCAUCCCAGCUCAGCUAGCGCUGUACUUGCAGCCUGAUUUCCUCUGGGAGGAGGGCUUGUAAAAAUCUUCUUCUGGGCUCUGCUGUGAGUUGGCAGUAGAAGCUUGUUGUUUGCAAUAUUUACGUGAACUGCCUGGGGGAGCCCUGCAAACCGCUCUAUGAGUUCCUUUCCCCAUUGACAGACUGUUGAAUGCUCAGAAAACGUGCCUGGGAAAGCAAAUCCGUAUUGGGUUGACUCAAGGGCUACAAGAUGUGUUGUGAUACAUCAACAAGAGUGAAGCGAGGUGCUGUUGGCUGGGACUUCAUUUUCCGAGUGAGUGAAGUGUGCGGCCUCAUAUGCAGGUGUGUGUGUGUGUGUGUGUGUGUGGACGUGCACAUUUGUACAAAUGAUGUACUGCUGGAUAUUUUGCACUCUGAGUUACUGUUGGUUGAGAAUGCUAAGUGUAUUGGCCCUGUAGUUCUAGUUGAAGGGCCAUCACGCAGGUUGAUUUAGGAUAAGUCAACUUCCCAUUGUUUUAAUUUCAUUUUCCCUGAUUCAUGGUGAGAGCAGUAACCUCCACCUCUACUCGGCCUAAGGAAAUGAAUGGCACCACAUCCGUGCUUUGAAGGAAAAACGUGCCUUGCUUGGAACUCGCACUUUAUUUCCCAUCUCAAAGGUCACUUUCUGGGGUGAAACUGCAAUGAUUAUGAACCUUUUUCCAGGAGCACUGGGGAGGACUUGUCUGAAUGAGGGGCUGACUGCAAAGAAGGAAAGCCCACCACGGCCAGUCCACACUGGGGAGGGACGGGUUACCAGGAAGACAAAAGGCGAAAAACAAGAGGAGGCAAGGCCUGCGUAUGUUUCUCUUAUUCCUGUGCCUGCCUCGGGCCGGCUGUGCCUCUGCCAGACUCUUUGGCGCAGACUGACUCCUUCUGCUCCGGGUCGGUUUCCUCUCUCUCUCAGAUAAAUAAGUAAAAACAAAAUUGGUCCAAGGAUGGGCAUCAUGGCUUUGUGGGUUAAGCCAACCCUAGGAAUGCCCACAUCCCAUAUCAGAGUGCUCAUUUGAGUUCUGGCUACCCCACUUCUGAUCCCGUUUCCUGCCCAUGUGCACCUUGAGGGACAGCAGGUGAUGGUCCAAGGGCUUGGAUCCCUGCACCCUUGUGGGAGACUCGGAUGGAGGUCCUGGCUCCUGGCUUUGGCCUGGCCCAGCCUUGGCUGUUGUGGAAACUUGGGGAGUGAACCAGUAGAUGAAAGACAUCUUUCUCUGUCUCUCUGUCUCUGCCUCUCUCCAUCACUCUGCCUUUCAAGUAGAUGAAAAGAAAUAAAUAAACAUUAAAAAAAAAAUAGAUCCA